UGUCCCUGACCUGGGUAGAGUGGCAGCUGGUUGAUGGCUCCUGUCUCAUGUCAGUGGGGGAUGAAACAACUCCUUGUUUAUCCCAGCUUGACUUUUGCCCUGUGCCCAUGCCUGGUUCAUGCCCUAGACACAUAG
ensembl:snoRNA